rnacentral:rRNA from 1 species
AGCGAACGCUGGCGGCAGGCCUAACACAUGCAAGUCGAACGGUAAGGCCCUUCGGGGUACACGAGUGGCGAACGGGUGAGUAACACGUGGGUGAUCUGCCCUGCACUUCGGGAUAAGCCUGGGAAACUGGGUCUAAUACCGGAUAGGACUCCGGACUGCAUGGUCUGGGGUGGAAAGCUUUUGCGGUGUGGGAUGGGCCCGCGGCCUAUCAGCUUGUUGGUGGGGUGAUGGCCUACCAAGGCGACGACGGGCAGCCGGCCUGAGAGGGUGACCGGCCACACUGGGACUGAGAUACGGCCCAGACUCCUACGGGAGGCAGCAGUGGGGAAUAUUGCACAAUGGGCGCAAGCCUGAUGCAGCGACGCCGCGUGAGGGAUGACGGCCUUCGGGUUGUAAACCUCUUUCAGCACAGACGAAGCGCAAGUGACGGUAUGUGCAGAAGAAGGACCGGCCAACUACGUGCCAGCCGCCGCAGUAA